UGAGGGAUAUUGGGCAAUGGGGGAAACCCUGACCCAGCGACGCCGCGUGAGGGAAGACGGUCUUCGGAUUGUAAACCUCUGUCUUUGGGGACGAAGAAGGACGGUACCCAAGGAGGAAGCUCCGGCUAACUACGUGCCAGCAGCCGCGGUAAUACGUAGGGAGCGAGCGUUGUCCGGAAUUACUGGGUGUAAAGGGAGCGUAGGCGGGAUUGCAAGUUGGAUGUGAAAACUGCGGGCUCAACCCGGAGAGUGCAUUCAAAACUGCGAUUCUUGAGUGAAGUAGAGGCAAGCGGAAUUCCUAGUGUAGCGGUGAAAUGCGUAGAUAUUAGGAGGAACACCAGUGGCGAAGGCGGCUUGCUGGGCUUUUACUGACGCUGAGGCACGAAAGCGUGGGGAUCGAACAGGAUUAGAUACC
rnacentral:rRNA from 1 species